AGUUGUAGAAAUCAUCAACUACUUUCAAUGGAGUUUUAUCAUCGCCUAAUGAUGGAACAGAUUGGUUAACAGACCAACGCCCAUUCCUCAUAAAAGCUGGACCAAACACCUUAAAGAAAUCUUGUGGAGCACAAUCAGUAGGAAUCUCAUCAUCAAACUCAUCUGUUGAGUCAUAAAUUCUUCUUUUGACAGGAUCAAUCAACACUUCAUACGCUUCUUGAAUAGAUUUAAAGUGACUUUCUAUUUCAUCCUUCUUUGCUUGUUUUGCAGCUUCAGUUUCCUCAGCAAGAAGAAGCGCAGCUUGUUUGUCAGGAUGAUACUUCAAAGCAGUUUCUCGAUAACUUUUUCUUAUCUGUUCCUCAGUCGCUAGAUAUCUUAAAUGACUCAAACCCAACAACGCAUAAUGAUCUUGUUGUGUGCUUCCACCAGAUUUCUUUUUACCUUUGCUGCUGUACGAAUCAAAUGAUGG
rnacentral:lncRNA from 1 species